CGAAUUUCUUUAACGGCUUUAAUAACUGGUCCAUUUUCGGAAUCGGCCAUGCUACCACAAUAGUCCUUUUUGGACUCGAUGACACCAAACAGAAUUACACUACGAAGACCUUUUUUGACGAGAGGACCCAAAAACUCUUCCAAUCUAUUAACACCCCAUCUAAAUUGAUUAGGCAUGCUAUCAAUGGCUUCCUUAGCAUCAUCUAUUUCGGAAAUGAAGAUAGGAUACAUUAGAGAUGACUUGGUAAUGGGACGUACACCUUGCCAUUCACGAAGCAACGGGUUUGAAUACCCAGCAUGCAAAAGAGAACUGAUAUCAACAGGCAUAUUAAAUACUAACUGACAAAAUUUAUUUGAUUUUUCCUAAAGAUGUAAAACUGCGUAAAAAAAGCAGAUUUGUGACAAAUGGAACUAAUGGACCAGCAAAAGCGCCUUUUAUUGGUUAUUUAAAAAAGUUCUAGCGGAAGAUCAACAAGAUUUCCUAAGAAAUAUUUUUAAAAAGGUAAGUGGCAGAUGGCGAGAGGUUGGCGAAGGUUAAGAUAAAUAAGUUUAACUUUUUUUUAAAAAAUCGGGCAUCGGACCACGAUAUUUGUUGAUUACAUAACAAUAGUAUCACUCCUGAAUAAAUUGUUUGUCCUUGAAGAAAUUAAUUGUCGUAAGGGAAUGCUGGGAGUAUUCAAACAAGCGAAACAGGACGAACGCCAAAAGAAAAUGACCAAAUGAAAAAUUUAGAUAUCAUUUAGUUUACAAGGUGAUCUCAUUCUCCAUUUCAUUAGGAAGUGAAGAUACUUGGAACUUGGGUUUGCUGUCGGCUUUACCAAUUCUGAAAUAGAAGAAACAAUAUGAAUAAAUGGACAGAACAAUAAUAUUUAUUUUAACCAAUUCUUGG